GACGAACGCUGGCGGCGUGCCUAAUACAUGCAAGUAGAACGCUGAAGGAGGAGCUUGCUUCUCUGGAUGAGUUGCGAACGGGUGAGUAACGCGUAGGUAACCUGCCUGGUAGCGGGGGAUAACUAUUGGAAACGAUAGCUAAUACCGCAUAACAGUAGAUGUUGCAUGACAUUUGCUUAAAAGGUGCAAUUGCAUCACUACCAGAUGGACCUGCGUUGUAUUAGCUAGUUGGUGGGGUAACGGCUCACCAAGGCGACGAUACAUAGCCGACCUGAGAGGGUGGUCGGCCACACUGGGACUGAGACACGGCCCAGACUCCUACGGGAGGCAGCAGUAGGGAAUCUUCGGCAAUGGACGGAAGUCUGACCGAGCAACGCCGCGUGAGUGAAGAAGGUUUUCGGAUCGUAAAGCUCUGUUGUAAGAGAAGAACGAGUGUGAGAGUGGAAAGUUCACACUGUGACGUAUCUACCA
rnacentral:rRNA from 1 species